rnacentral:rRNA from 1 species
GAUGAACGCUGGCGGCGUGCUUAACACAUGCAAGUCGAACGGUGAACACGGAGCUUGCUCUGUGGGAUCAGUGGCGAACGGGUGAGUAACACGUGAGCAACCUGCCCCUGACUCUGGGAUAAGCGCUGGAAACGGCGUCUAAUACUGGAUAUGUGACGUGACCGCAUGGUCUGCGUUUGGAAAGAUUUUUCGGUUGGGGAUGGGCUCGCGGCCUAUCAGCUUGUUGGUGAGGUAAUGGCUCACCAAGGCGUCGACGAGUAGCCGGCCUGAGAGGGUGACCGGCCACACUGGGACUGAGACACGGCCCAGACUCCUACGGGAGGCAGCAGUGGGGAAUAUUGCACAAUGGGCGCAAGCCUGAUGCAGCAACGCCGCGUGAGGGAUGACGGCCUUCGGGUUGUAAACCUCUUUUAGCAGGGAAGAAGCGAAAGUGACGGUACCUGCAGAAAAAGCGCCGGCUAACUACGUG